CUGAGGAGCACGCUGACAUUGCUGAGUCUCAGGUCAACAAGCACAGAGCCAAGAGCCGUGAUGCUGGAAAGGCCAAAGAAGAGUAAAUCUGCUGGAUUCUGCUGUGGUUAUACAAUAUGACUAUGUAGCAGCACCAGUCUUUCAAUUUCUGUUAAAUAAACCUGUAUAUAGCAGCAUCAAACACGUCUGAGUCAUUCAUAUAGAAAACCACGACAGAUACCAACCAAGAUGUAUCUAAGCUAAAGUCAGCUUCUUGACAGGUUGAGCCCUGAAAUCUUUUUAAACAGCUUCAUGUGUUCCAUGGCUAACAUAACAUCUUCAAAUUCUUAAGAUUGUCCUAUACAAAGAUUCAUGGACAAUCACAUGAAAUAGUACUAGGUGUUAUCUGAAACUAAAUCCUUACCUUUAAUGUAAACCUUGUGGAGAUGAAAAAAAUGUCCAUAUUGUUUUUCUCAGAUUUCAACACAUUGUUCACAACCAAUAUAAAUCACAAAUAUAUUUGUAACCCUU